UCUACGGGAGGCAGCAGUGAGGAAUAUUGGUCAAUGGGCGCUAGCCUGAACCAGCCAAGUAGCGUGAAGGAUGACUGCCCUAUGGGUUGUAAACUUCUUUUAUAUGGGAAUAAAGUGCAGUAUGUAUACUUCUUUGCAUGUACCUUAUGAAUAAGGAUCGGCUAACUCCGUGCCAGCAGCCGCGGUAAUACGGAGGAUCCGAGCGUUAUCCGGAUUUAUUGGGUUUAAAGGGAGCGUAGACGGGUUGUUAAGUCAGUUGUGAAAGUUUGCGGCGCAACCGUAAAAUUGCAGUUGAUACUGGCAGCCUUGAGUACAGUAGAGGUAGGCGGAAUUCGUGGUGUAGCGGUGAAAUGCUUAGAUAUCACGAAGAACUCCGAUUGCGAAGGCAGCCUGCUGAACUGUCACUGACGCUGAUGCUCGAAAGUGUGGGUAUCAAACAGGAUUAGAUACCCGUGUAGUC
rnacentral:rRNA from 1 species